GUGCUAUUCUAUUGGAUUAUGAUGGUACUGUGAUUCCACAAACAUCCAUCAGCAAGACCCCGAAUUCUCAGGCAAUUGCCAUUCUGAAUAGCUUGUGCAGAGACCCAAACAAUGUUGUGUUUCUUGUUAGUGGCAGAUCAAAAGACACACUCAUUGAGUGGUUUUCGACUUGCGAUAAGCUAGUGAUCGCAGCUGAGCAUGGCUACUUUUUGAGGGAAAAACAUGGUAUGGAAUGGGAAACAUGUGUGCCGGUGCCAGACUUCGAUUGGAAAAAUAUCGCAGA
rnacentral:misc_RNA from 1 species